UAUCAUUAUAGUUUAUCUAAAACAUUACGUUUUCAUUGUAAAAAUAAAAAUUAAUUUUUUAAUGAUAU
rnacentral:tRNA from 1 species